GGCUUGAACCAAAACAAAAACAGGUAUUAUUCCGUUUCAUUCUCUCUUAUCUUCUUUCCAUCUCAAUGAUCGAAUUCAUUUGCUGUUUUCGUGCUUAAUUAAUUAAUUUUUGUGCUGUUUUAUUUCGUUUUAGAUCUUGUUAUUUGUGCAAAUUGAAUUGCUUCUGUUGUUUGGCUUGAAUUUUCUGUUGUCUACUUAUUUUAUGUGGUAGUGAAUUUGAUAUUUGUUAAUCGAAUUGCUUUUUAUGAAAUGUUCAAUGCUUUGGACUAUUAAGUAGAUGGGAAUAAUUUUGGGAUUGAAAGUUAAGUAUGAACUUGCAGAUCCUUCAAUGAUAUGGUCUUCCUUUUGUCUGCACUAUUAGUUGUUUUGUCCUCUUUCUAAACUUCAAACACUUGACUUCCAUUUUGACAAACACCCCGUAUUGUGUCCCUAUUUUCUGAAUGCUAUAAUCCACAUGUUCGAUAUAGAACAGCCUCGGCAGUUGGCAUAUCAUGUGCUGGCACAUGCUUAAGAGAGUCAAUAUCUUUGCUAGUGCCUUUAACAUUGGAUGUAGGUGAUUAUUUGCUAGGCGUGGUGCCCUGAUUUCCAUGGCCAUGGUCUGGGUUCAGAUUAUUGAAGCUAUGGAUUCUCAGUUUGGAACAUUCAGGUAAUAUUUGUAUCUAUCAUCUCCUUUGUGUUCUUCUAUUCUAUCUUGCAAAAUGAUUAAAAUUUCUUAAAGAUUACGUAGGCGAAUUUAAAUAUAUGUAUGUCUUCGACAUCAUGUGAUUGCAUCAAUUCUCUGUUUCCGGUCUAUACCGAAUUCUACUACUCCUCGAGGUUUAUAUAUCUUAUGGUCGUUAUCUUGGAUCGCCUGCUUACUAAGGACAAGUUGUCUUGUUGGGGAUGUGCUUUUGACUCUCCAUGUGUCUUCUGCAAAGCUGCUGAAAGUAGUAAUGUCAAAUUGUCAACCAGAUGUUUCGAAGGAAAUCUACUUGGGCUGAACUUUUAGUUGCUACGUUUGCUGAAUCUGUCUAUUGUAUUUGGACAGCUAGAUUAGGAUCAUCUUUGAUAAUAUUACUAGGUCCUUUGGUUGUGUGUUUAGAGACAGUGUUUUCAGGUUGCUUGUUAAGUCUCUGAGGAUUUAAACCAAAAUCUUUUCUUGUAAUUAGUUGCUUAUGCUGCAACUACUACUCCUUGAUUGGGGUUGUGUGAUAUUGACCUAUGUUGGUUUGUCGCAGCGAGUUGACGUUUGGUUCUCGUGGUGUUUUUAGAGCCUAAUGGAAUAAUGGAAUUUCAUCUUUA